GACGAACGCUGGCGGCGUGCUUAACACAUGCAAGUCGAACGGAAAGGCCCUGCUUUUGUGGGGUGCUCGAGUGGCGAACGGGUGAGUAACACGUGAGUAACCUGCCCUUGACUUUGGGAUAACUUCAGGAAACUGGGGCUAAUACCGGAUAGGAGCUCCUGCUGCAUGGUGGGGGUUGGAAAGUUUCGGCGGUUGGGGAUGGACUCGCGGCUUAUCAGCUUGUUGGUGGGGUAGUGGCUUACCAAGGCUUUGACGGGUAGCCGGCCUGAGAGGGUGACCGGCCACAUGGGGACUGAGAUACGGCCCAGACUCCUACGGGAGGCAACAGUGGGGAAUAUUGCACAAUGGGCGGAAGCCUGAUGCAGCAACGCCGCGUGCGGGAUGACGGCCUUCGGGUUGUAACCCGCUUUCGCCUGUGACGAAGCGUGAGUGACGGUAAUGGGUAAAGAAGCACCGGCUAACUACGU
rnacentral:rRNA from 1 species